UACAGAGGUCUCAAGCGUUGUUCGGAUUCAUUGGGCGUAAAGGGUGCGUAGGUGGCGCUGUAAGUCAGGUGUGAAAUUUCGGAGCUUAACUCCGAAACUGCAUUUGAUACUGCGGUGCUUGAGGACUGGAGAGGAGACUGGAAUUUACGGUGUAGCAGUGAAAUGCGUAGAGAUCGUAAGGAAGACCAGUGGCGAAGGCGGGUCUCUGGACAGUUCCUGACACUGAGGCACGAAGGCCAAGGGAGCAAACGGG
rnacentral:rRNA from 1 species